ACGGGUGAGGAAUACAUCGGAAUCUGCCUUGUCGUGGGGGAUAACGUAGGGAAACUUACGCUAAUACCGCAUGCGACCGAAAGGUGAAAGUGGGGGACCGCAAGGCCUCACGCGAUAAGAUGAGCCGAUGUCGGAUUAGCUAGUUGGUGAGGUAAUGGCUCACCAAGGCGACGAUCCGUAGCUGGUCUGAGAGGAUGAUCAGCCACACUGGAACUGAGACACGGUCCAGACUCCUACGGGAGGCAGCAGUGGGGAAUAUUGGACAAUGGGCGCAAGCCUGAUCCAGCCAUGCCGCGUGGGUGAAGAAGGCCUUCGGGUUGUAAAGCCCUUUUGUUGGGGAAGAAAUCGUACGGGUGAAUAUCCCGUGCGGAUGACGGUACCCAAAGAAUAAGCACCGGCUAACUUCGUGCCAGCAGCCGCGGUAAUACGAAGGGUGCAAGCGUUACUCGGAAUUACUGGGCGUAAAGCGUGCGUAGGCGGUCUGUUAAGUCCGUUGUGAAAGCCCUGGGCUCAACCUGGGAAUUGCAGUGGAUACUGGCAGGCUAGAGUACGGUAGAGGAUGGUGGAAUUCCCGGUGUAGCGGUG
rnacentral:rRNA from 2 species